ACGUAGGCUUUAUUAAUGAAAACACAAAAGUAUUCCCAAAGGAGCAUUUUCUCACAAUGCACUUGCCUGUCUUCUCUCUGAAGGAAAGCCUUCAAAUGUGUAGAGUGAUGUGUUAUGCUCCCAACAACUUGCAUGUGGAAAUUUAACUAUUGGUGCCAUAAUAGCAAGAGCUAAGGUUUAUCUCAUGUCUUCAUAAAUCUGUAUGACGCCUUUCAUCCUAUUUUAGAGGUUAUGUGCACAGUUAACCCUCUUGAUAUGAGUUCAUUUCUAAGUAACGUGAAACAAAACUAAAAUAUGUUAUAUUUCAUAAACAUAAGAUCAGUGAUGAUGUAAAUCCAUCAAAUCUAAUCCUGCAGCAAAAACGUUUCACACUUUUUCUUCAAAUACUAUCCAUUGUUUUAUCACUUUUUGAUGUUUUAAAUGUUUUUAUUAUUGUGAAUCUGUCACCUAGUAACAUCUUGAAUAUCUUCCAAAGCAGGACUUCUUAACCUAAACA
rnacentral:lncRNA from 1 species